rnacentral:rRNA from 1 species
CCUAGGGGGUGCUGCAGUGGGGAAUAUUGGACAAUGGGCGAAAGCCUGAUCCAGCCAUGCCGCGUGUGUGAAGAAGGCCUUCGGGUUGUAAAGCACUUUCAGUGGGGAAGAAAGCCUUGGGGCUAAUACCCUCGAGGAAGGACAUCACCCACAGAAGAAGCACCGGCUAACUCCGUGCCAGCAGCCGCGGUAAUACGGAGGGUGCGAGCGUUAAUCGGAAUUACUGGGCGUAAAGCGCGCGUAGGCGGUCUGAUAAGCCGGUUGUGAAAGCCCCGGGCUCAACCUGGGAACGGCAUCCGGAACUGUCAGGCUAGAGUGCAGGAGAGGAAGGUAGAAUUCCCGGUGUAGCGGUGAAAUGCGUAGAGAUCGGGAGGAAUACCAGUGGCGAAGGCGGCCUUCUGGACUGACACUGACGCUGAGGUGCGAAAGCGUGGGUAGCAAACAGGAUUAGAUACCCUAGUAGUC